GCUUGCUAAUUGGUAUUAGAUAAUAAAUUAACAAGUAAUUAAAAGAGCUCCCUUUUGUUUAGCGAUUUGAAUUUUACAUUUGGAUGUGGCAACUGCGAACUAAGAUUUUCCAUGGUAUGAGCUCUUGUUAACUUCCAUAAAUAUUUUCUUUCCUUGGCUGCGUACAAUUGGCGUAAGAAUGCUUACGAUCAACUUGCAGUACAUCGAUUUUUUGAAACCUUCCAUCAUUUCCCAAGAUAUCAAACCCCGUUUCCCUUUCACCAUUCCAAAUCCAAGAAUCUCAACAGCAAUGUCCUAAUCAAUCAGCAUGUCUCCAGUUGUUCUUUGUAUUGUCGCUUUAGAGCUCUGCAUACUUAAGUCGUCCCCAUGCCUUCUCAAUUCUUGGGAUCUAACGAAUUCCUCUAUUCUUACCUUCAACUCA
rnacentral:misc_RNA from 1 species